rnacentral:rRNA from 1 species
GAUGAACGCUAGCGAUAGGCUUAACACAUGCAAGUCGAGGGGCAGCAUGGUCUUAGCUUGCUAAGGCUGAUGGCGACCGGCGCACGUGUGCGUAACGCGUAUUCAACUUGCCUCACAGAUGGGGAUAACCCGUCGAAAGACGGACUAAUACCGCGUACACGCUAUGUUGGGCAUCCAAGGUAGAGGAAAUGAAAUUCGCUGGGAGAUAGGCAUGCGUGCCAUUAGCUAGGUGGUGAGGUAACGGCUCACCAAGGCGACGAUGGGUAGGGGAACGGCGAGGGUGAGCCCCCACAGUGGGACUGAGCAACGGAGCAGACUGCUACGGGCGGCAGCAGUGAGGAAUAUUGGUGUAUGGGAGAGAGCAUGAAGGAGCCAAGUCGCGUGCAGGAUGACUGUCUUAUGGAUUGUAACCUUCUUGUAUAAGGGCAUAACCAGCGUCACGUGUGGGUGCCUGAAUGUGACGGAUGAAUAAGCAUCGGCUAACUACGUG